rnacentral:rRNA from 1 species
UACAGAGGUCCCAAGCGUUGUUCGGAUUCACUGGGCGUAAAGGGUGCGCAGGUGGCAUGGCAAGUUUGAUGUGAAAGCUCAGGGCUCAACCCUGAAAUGGCAUUGAAUACUGCUGUGCUGGAGGUUUGGAGGGGGGACUGGAAUUCUUGGUGGUAGCAGUGAAAUGCGUAGAUAUCAAGAGGAACACAGUGGCGAAGGCGAGUCCCUGGACAACACCUGACACUGAGGCACGAAAGCUAGGGGGGCAAACAGGG